GACGAACGCUGGCGGCGUGCUUAACACAUGCAAGUCGAACGGAAAGGCCCUGCUUUUGUGGGGUGCUCGAGUGGCGAACGGGUGAGUAACACGUGAGUAACCUGCCCUUGACUUUGGGAUAACUUCAGGAAACUGGGGCUAAUACCGGAUAGGAGCUCCUGCUGCAUGGUGGGGGUUGGAAAGUUUCGGCGGUUGGGGAUGGACUCGCGGCUUAUCAGCUUGUUGGUGGGGUAGUGGCUUACCAAGGCUUUGACGGGUAGCCGGCCUGAGAGGGUGACCGGCCACAUUGGGACUGAGAUACGGCCCAGACUCCUACGGGAGGCAGCAGUGGGGAAUAUUGCACAAUGGGCGGAAGCCUGAUGCAGCAACGCCGCGUGCGGGAUGACGGCCUUCGGGUUGUAAACCGCUUUCGCCUGUGACGAAGCGUGAGUGACGGUAAUGGGUAAAGAAGCACCGGCUAACUACGUGCCGGCAGCCGCGGUGAUACGUAGGGUGCGAGCGUUGUCCGGAUUUAUUGGGCGUAAAGGGUUCGUAGGUGGUUGAUCGCGUCGGAAGUGUAAUCUUGGGGCUUAACCCUGAGCGUGCUUUCGAUACGGGUUGACUUGAGGAAGGUAGGGGAGAAUGGAAUUCCUGGUGGAGCGGUGGAAUGCGCAGAUAUCAGGAGGAACACCAGCGGCGAAGGCGGUUCUCUGGGCCUUUCCUGACGCUGAGGAGCGAAAGCGUGGGGAGCGAACAGGCUUAGAUACCCUGGUAGUCCACGCUGUAAACGGUGGGUACUAGGUGUGGGGUCCAUUCCACGGGUUCCGUGCCGUAGCUAACGCUUUAAGUACCCCGCCUGGGGAGUACGGCCGCAAGGCUAAAACUCAAAGGAAUUGACGGGGCCCCGCACAAGCGGCGGAGCAUGCGGAUUAAUUCGAUGCAACGCGCAGAACCUUACCUGGGUUUGACAUGGAUCGGGAGCGCUCAGAGAUGGGUGUGCCUCUUUUGGGGUCGGUUCACAGGUGGUGCAUGGCUGUCGUCAGCUCGUGUCGUGAGAUGUUGGGUUAAGUCCCGCAACGAGCGCAACCCUUGUUCACUGUUGCCAGCACGUUAUGGUGGGGACUCAGUGGAGACCGCCGGGGUCAACUCGGAGGAAGGUGGGGAUGACGUCAAGUCAUCAUGCCCCUUAUGUCCAGGGCUUCACGCAUGCUACAAUGGCUGGUACAGAGAGUGGCGAGCCUGUGAGGGUGAGCGAAUCUCGGAAAGCCGGUCUCAGUUCGGAUUGGGGUCUGCAACUCGACCUCAUGAAGUCGGAGUCGCUAGUAAUCGCAGAUCAGCAACGCUGCGGUGAAUACGUUCCCGGG
rnacentral:rRNA from 1 species